rnacentral:lncRNA from 1 species
UGCCCAAGCAUGCUUAACUGCGGAGUUCUGAUGGGAUCCGGUGCAUUAGUGUUGGUAUGAUCGCACCCGCUGAAGUCUGUCUUCUUGAAGAAUAAGAUCGGAGCUCUCAAAGGUGAGAAGCUUGGUCUUUUCAUUCUAUUGUUGAGUAGUCGUUAAACUGUCCGGACGAUUCUUGUAUCUCCAUGGGCGUUAGUGUUGGAUGAGGUGUCUAAGUCCAUAACUAUUUCGGGCUUGUACUUGACCCGACCCGGCAUGGUCCAUUUGGGUUUCAUGGCACCAUGCAAUUGGAUAGACUAAAUGAGAGAAAUAACACUUGGAGAUUAUUAAUAUAUUAUAAGUUCUAAUAUAUUAAUAAUAUUAUUUAAUUAGUUGAUCAAAGAAUUAAUUUGGAAUUAAUUAAGUGAUCAAAGGAUAACUAGUUAAAUAUAUGGGUUGAUUAUGUAAAUCAUCCAUAUCUUGUAUAGUGGGCUAAGAGGCUCCAUGGAUUAUCAAGUUGGGUUCUACCCAUAGGAUGCUCCAUGGAAGUUCCAUGGGAGUUACAAACCCAUGGGUCAUGGAAAUGAAGAGUCAUGACACAUUAGGGUUUACAUGGUGUAACCCUAGAUGUGUCAACACUAUAUAAGAAUCAUAUUCUCCACCAAAAUCGGCUACACUAAGAAACUAGAGGGCUUGGCCGAUUUUGAGAAGUGUGUGUUAUCUCAAGAGUCUUUCCAAGAGCAUUUGGUGUUGUGUGAAGCAUUUGAGGCAUCACACUUGGGGUGCUAGGCUCACAAGGUUUCAAGGAACACAAGCAACAACAAGGUAAGUUAUUCUAUCUAUGAUUCAAGUUAAAAUUGUUCCCCAUGUAUGCUAGAUAGGAAUAUAACCUUGGAAUUCAACUUUGCAUGAUAAUUAGACAAACAUAGAUCCAAGGUUAUUAGGGUUGCAUGUACACUUAGGAAGUGUUAGAAUGCUCAAAACCCAUCAGUGGUAUCAGAGCCUAGGCUUGUUUGUUUGUUAUUUGUGCUUAAAAGUUGAAGAAAGUCGAAAAUCUUGCUGUCUGACUGAUGGACUCGGCGAGUCCAUGGGGAGGACUCGACGAGUUCAUGUGUAUCUUCAACCUACUCGGCGAGUAGGUUUAUGCACUCGGCGAGUAGGGUCGACAGAGUGCAGAAUUUCGACUUGUGUUGCUGGAAAUGGAUUAGAAUCAUUACCCUAAAAUGUUUUGGUACUUGAAAACUUAUUUUAGAAGGUGUAAUGUCUUUUCUAACUCAUUUACAACAACUAGUUAUCAAAAUUACAAAGAUUAAAUGUGAUUUUGAUUCUUGAAAGUGUUCAUAUUCAUAUUCUUGUUCUUAUGAUGUUUAGAUGAUCAUAGGAAUUAUUUGUAACCUAUGUGGUAGAUUAAUUCAUGAUCAUAAUGUGUUUUAAUGGAGUCCAUAACUUGUCCUCAAGUUAUGGAAAACCAAAAGUCUCUUGGAUUAAAAAACAUUAAAAGAACACAAGAGUUAGGAAAAAUGAAAAGUCCUCAUUUUAUUACUCUAUUAAACUCAUAAGUUACAAGAAAUGAAAAGUUUUGAAAGUUUACAAAACUUGCCCUCAAGUUUUGGAACAAGUAAAGUUAAGUUAAAACUUUAGUUCCAACCCCUAGAAUUUUAAAAGUUAAAAUUCAACCCUUAUACUUAUAUUAUUAUGAUUUAAUAAUUAUAUAUAUAUGUAUAAGAACAAAGUCGUCUUACCGCUAGUACGCCUCAUUCACGAAGCCGGUCUAUAAGGUGGGUAUAAGGUUGUUGCCUAUAAAAUGGUGACUUAAUGGGUGUCCACUCUCACCCACCGCUUGCUUGAUCGGUGGAGGGUCGUUAGCCGAACGGGUAAGACAAGGACUUAUUAAUUCUCAUUCAAAGUAUGAUGAAUAUUAUAAAGUAACUAAAUGUUUUAUUAAAUUCCCAAUCUUAGUUACUUUAGGAAAAAUGUGAAUAAGGUGCUAUUCCAUGAAAUUACACUUUACACUUUGAUUAAGUCGUUGGUGGAGCGUGUGUGGUUAACCGGCACACUAACUUGGACUUAACAAGGUAGGUAAAGGGUGACUUAGGGUUUAUUAUAGUAUCGAUGGAGCGUGUGUGGUUAACCGGCACAUCGAUUGAGUGAUAAACUUUAAGGGUACCAAGUGAUUUGCAUGGUUACUUCACACCUCGUUUUGUGAUCCUCGGUAUCCCAGUCACAAAACUUGGAGGGCACACUCGAGAUUGAAACAUGCCUUUGAAAAGUUCAUUGAAUCUCAAAGAAUCUAGGAAUUUCUAAGAACCAUUCAAAAACCUAAUACUAAAAUAUUGCGGUUUUCGUGGUGGAAAUUGGUGAAUCGUCAUUCACCUACCUUUCAAAUAUGAUAUAGCUUAGAUUACGGCAUACCUCUUCUAAGUUAUAUUAUAUUGUGAUUGGAUCCUAGCCUUAAUAUUACAUUUGGGUGUUUUAUUAAGGACUCUCUUAUAUCUAAACUAAUCUUGUCCUCUUUCCUUCAGAUGUCUUUCAACAAUGCUUCUGGCUCUAAUCCUAAUGGCUCCUUUACCCUUAUGAACUUGUGUGGGAAAGUCACCUUUGAUGGAUCCAACUUCAAUGAGUGGAUCAGAAACAUCAGGAUGAUUACCCGCUACGAGGACAAAGAAUAUGUCCUUGACAAGGAGCUUAAGGAGAUUGAUGAGUCCACUGCAACUCCUCAGGAGAUCGCUGAAUUUCGGGCACAUGAAAGGGAUGCUACGAAAGUGGCUUGCAUCAUGAUGGCCACGAUGACAGCGGAACUCCAAAAGUCUUAUGAGGAUUUCUACCCUUAUGAAAUGCACCAAGAUUUGAUGGAAAGAUACCAUCAAAGUGCAAGACAAGAGAGGUAUGAAAUCAUCUGCUCCAUGAUAACAACCAUGAUGAAGGACGGGGAAUCCGUCACGAGCCACAUGCAGAAAAUGCAAAGGUAUGUGGAUCGUUUGCUGAAGCUUAAUGUGAACUUCCCGGAGGAUCUUGCAAUAGAUAUUAUUUUGCAUUCCUUACCAUCGUGCUAUGAUCAAUUCCGCAUGACAUAUCACAUGAACAAGGAAGAAGUCACCCUCAGCAAACUUCAGGGACUUCUCAAGACCGCAGAAUCAGGUCUUAAGGGGAAGUCGGUUGCUAUCACUCCUACUCAAAACUCUACUCCGGUUUUGGCAAUCGGGAAAAGUCGAGGGAGGAAGAGAAAGAGCUCUUCUAAGGGUACCAAGGUUCGGACCCUUGAUGGCUCUUCUUCAAGUGGAACCAAGAAAGGUUUCAUUACUCCUUCUUCUGACCCAAAAGAGGCUGAAUGCUUCUAUUGCCAUGAAAAAGCUCAUUGGAAGCGGAACUGCCCAAAAUACCAGCAAGAUGUGAAGGAUGGGAAAGUUAAACCCAACCAUGCAGGUAUUUACACUAUCAUUUCUAAUAACUCACCCCAUUCUAAUUCUUGGGUCCUUGAUACCGGGUGUGGUAUUCACAUUUGUUGUGACUUGCAGGGACUAAGAAGAAGUGAGGAUGUGGAGCAAGGAAGGAUAAACUUGAUCAUGGGGAAUAGGAAAGCUAUACCUGUUACCAAGAUUGGAGUUUAUACUUUAUCGCUAAGUAGUGGGUUUAGUUUAGAUUUGAAUAAGUGUUGUUAUUCGCCAGGAAUGGCAAGAAAUAUUAUUUCCUUUCAUGCUUUGUACAAACAAGGGUUUACCUUUUCAUUUAAUAAUGAAGUUGGUUCUAUAGAUGUUUUCUAUAAUAAUGUCUUUUAUUUUAAAGCAUUACCUUGUGAUGGUGUGUAUGAAGCUGUAUCUGUUGUAGAUAACUUGGGAAAUAAUGUUUUGUGUAUUGAUUCUACUAAUAAUAACUUGGAUAAAGCAUCUUUAUGGCAUUGUCGUCUUGGACAUAUAAGCAAGAAACGCAUAGGCCAACUCCAAAAGGAUGGAGUCUUGGAGUCGUUUGACCUAAAGUCAGAUGAUAGUUGCGAAUCAUGCUUACUUGGAAAAAUGACAAAGUCACCCUUCACAGGUUCGUGUGAGAGGGGUGAAGGUUUGUUGGACCUUAUACACACGGAUGUGUGUGGACCAUUCAAACAUGCCACAAGGGAUGCUAAUCGUUAUUAUUUGACUUUUACUGAUGAUUAUAGUAGAUAUGGAUAUGUCUACUUGAUCAAGCAUAAGUCAGAGACUUUCGAGAGGUUUAAGGAAUUUAAACAGGAAGUCGAGAAUCAAUUGGGCAGGAACAUUAAGAUGCUUCGAUCCGAUCGUGGUGGUGAGUAUCUUAGUUCAGAGUUCCUCGACUAUCUAAGGGAAUGUGGGAUAGUCUCACAAUUGACACCUCCCAGGACACCACAGUUGAAUGGUGUGGCUGAGAGGCGUAAUCGAACCUUGUUAGAUAUGGUUCGUUCCAUGAUGAGUCGAGCUACGCUACCAAUCUCAUUCUGGGGGUAUGCCUUAGAGACUGCCGCCCAUAUUCUUAAUCUAGUCCCUACAAAGAAAGUUGCCAAAACUCCUCACGAGAUGUGGACUGGUAAAGUACCUAAACUAGACCACAUCAAGAUUUGGGGUUGCGAGGCUUUCGUGAGACGCGAGACUCAUGAUAAGCUCGAACCUCGAAGCGAGAGGUGUAUUUUCAUCGGUUACCCACAGCGAUCCUUUGGUUACCUCUUCUACAGACCUAGUGACAAUGUGGUCUUUGUAGCAAGAAGAGGAGUCUUUCGAGAAAGAGAGUUUAUAAGCCAAGGAGACAGUGGGAGGCAAAUUGAUCUUGAAGAAAUUCAAGAAUCAAGCGGUGAAGGAACUUCAAACUCUAGCCCUCAACUUGAGGAGGAAACUCCUGUUGAGCCAAUUGACAAAUCUGUACCUCUGAGACGUUCCACGAGAGUUAGGAGUGCACCUGAGCAUUACUAUGGAUUCCAUAUUACUGCAGAAGGUGAGACACUUAUUAGUGAUGAGACACUAGUAAGUCAAGAUGACCCUAACAGCUACGAGGAAGCCAUGGCAGGCCCCGAGUCUGCUAAAUGGAAAGAGGCUAUGGAUAGCGAGAUACAAUCCAUGUAUGACAAUCAAGUUUGGAACUUGGUUGAAAAUGUACCAGGUCGUAAGACAGUAGGGUGCAAAUGGGUCUUCAAGAAGAAGACCGACAUGGAUGGUAAAGUACACACUUAUAAGGCUAGACUGGUUGCAAAGGGCUUCUCUCAAAUUCCUGGAGUGGAUUAUGAUGAGACCUUUUCUCCGGUAGCCAAGAUUAAGUCUAUUCGGGUUCUGUUAGCCAUAGCUGCAUUUCAUGACUAUGAAAUAUGGCAGAUGGAUGUCAAAACCGCUUUCCUUAAUGGAAAGUUGGCUGAAGAUGUUUACAUGAGUCAGCCAGAGGGUUUUGUCAGCAACGAGUACCCUAAUAGAGUGUGUAAGCUUGAGAAAUCCAUUUAUGGAUUGAAGCAAGCACCUCGCAGAUGGAAUCUUUGCUUUGAUGAAAAGGUCAAGGAAUUUGGCUUUUCUAGGAGUGAAGAUGAAUCUUGUGUGUAUGUCAAGGCUAGUGGGAGUAUAGUUAGCUUUUUGGUAUUGUAUGUGGAUGACAUACUACUCAUAGGAAACGACAUUCCAACCCUGCAGGAAGUAAAGUCCUGGCUUGGGAAGUGUUUCGCUAUGAAGGACCUUGGUGAAGCUGCCUAUAUUCUAGGGAUAAGAAUCUUGAGAGAUCGGAGUAAAAGACUAAUUGGACUUAGUCAGAGUACCUACUUGGAUAAGGUGCUGAAGAGAUUCAGCAUGCAGGAUUCCAAGAAAGGAGAGUUACCCAUCCAGAGUAACACCAGAUUGAGUAAGACACAAAGCCCUAGCACUGAGGCUGAGAUAGCAGAAAUGAGUCGAACACCUUACGCUUCGGCUGUAGGAUCGAUCAUGUAUGCUAUGACGUGUACUCGACCCGAUGUAGCUUUUGCCUUGAGCAUGGUUAGCAGGUAUCAGGCGAACCCUGGCAAGGCACACUGGACUGCGGUAAAGAAUAUCCUCAAGUACCUACGGAGGACUAAGGACUGGGUCCUUACCCUCGGUGGGAGUGAUGACUUGAGAGUUGUAGGGUAUAGUGAUGCUAGCUUCCAGACUGAUAGGGAUAAUUUCCGCUCUCAGUCGGGCUGGGUCUUUACCCUAAACGGAGGAGCAAUUUCUUGGAAGAGUUCCAAGCAAGAGACAGUGGCAGAUUCUACUUGUGAAUCAGAGUAUAUUGCAGCUAGCGAAGCAGCAAAGGAGGCGAUAUGGCUGAAGAACUUCAUUGGAGACCUUGGAGUUGUACCAGCUAUUAAAGAGCCAAUGGAAAUUUUCUGUGAUAGUGAAAGUGCUGUUGCCUUAGCCAAGGAACCAAGGGAUCAUGGGAGAUCCAGACACAUCGACAGAAAAUACCAUUUCAUUAGACAUCGGAUCGAAGAAGGACUCCUCGUGGCAAAGAGGGUAUCAUCGGAUGAGAACCCAGCAGAUCCCCUCACGAAGGGACUGAGUAGGGUUAAGCAUCUCCAGCAUGCUCGGAGCAUAGGGCUGAAGGAUGAUAUAAGUUUUAGUAGUUAGAUAACCCAGAAAUUUGUAAAGUGUAAUUGACAUUUGAUGAUGAAUAAAAGGUGUUUUAUUUAUGAGUAAAGUGUUGCUAUCUCUUGUCAAUCGUUUACUAUAUUUCUUUUGCAUGUUUUGACUUCCAGAAUAAUUUUGUUUGGUGUAACAUAUUAUUCAAACCUCCACAGUCGGUCAUAUGUCGGAAGUAGGUAUGAAUCAAGACUGUCAUGAUGGGUUGUAGAGGUCUAAGGUGUUGGACAAGGCUACAACAAUCAUGAGUGCUCAUAAGUUCUGAGCAUUGGACUCAACCCACGCUCACUGGAAUCACUUCAUGGAAUUCUAUCUCGAGUGAUCGUGAGACGGUAAUAUCAUAUAAGUCUUCAAACCUAGAGAUAUGAUUUGUUACUUACAAGUUGGUUAUGCAUUGACUGUACGAAACCGCAUUGGUAACUCGAUGUUAUAAAACGUACUUUUGUGUGUAAUUCAAUGAGUGGUAGAACAAACAUAUGAGUCGAAGUUUAUCUGUUCCUUCUUGGAUUAGAAGCUGAUAUCUGGGCCCCUCGAUGAUUUUGUUUUGACCCAUGUACCGGGCCCGGUCAGAACUAAGUUGAUGUGUUCAAUUAAGUUCUAUGUCAAACAAAUCGGAAAUCGGGAAACAAAUGCUGGACAAUAAGCAAGACAAUGUUCCAUGUAUUUGUCCGGCUGAUAUCUAGAACGGAGGAUUAUAUGAUCACUUAUCUUAAAUGGCGUACCAUCAUCUUCUCAGUUCCGAGAGACCUUGAAAGAGCUACGAUUGCCGGUCGGUUCCUGAAGUACUAGAGAUAUAGUUAUUAGACUUAUCCAAGUGGGAGACUGUUGGAUAAGGUGUCUAAGUCCAUAACUAUUUCGGGCUUGUACUUGACCCGACCCGGCAUGGUCCAUUUGGGUUGCAUGGCACCAUGCAAUUGGAUAGACUAAAUGAGAGAAAUAACACUUGGAGA